AUUGAACGCUGGCGGCAUGCUUUACACAUGCAAGUCGAACGGUAACAGGCCGCAAGGUGCUGACGAGUGGCGAACGGGUGAGUAAUGCAUCGGAACGUGCCCAGUCGUGGGGGAUAACGCAGCGAAAGCUGCGCUAAUACCGCAUACGAUCUGUGGAUGAAAGCGGGGGACCGAAAGGCCUCGCGCGAUUGGAGCGGCCGAUGUCAGAUUAGGUAGGUGGUGGGGUAAAGGCCCACCAAGCCAACGAUCUGUAGCUGGUCUGAGAGGACGACCAGCAACACUGGGACUGAGACACGGCCCAGACUCCUACGGGAGGCAGCAGUGGGGAAUUUUGGACAAUGGGCGCAAGCCUGAUCCAGCAAUGCCGCGUGCAGGAAGAAGGCCUUCGGGUUGUAAACUGCUUUUGUACGGAACGAAACGGCUCUGGUUAAUACCUGGGGCUAAUGACGGUACCGUAAGAAGAAGCGCCGGCUAACUACGUGCCAGCAGCCGCGGUAAAAC
rnacentral:rRNA from 1 species